rnacentral:rRNA from 1 species
GCGCAGCAGUCGCGAAACUUUACAAUGUGCGAAAGCACGAUAAGGGAACUCUGAGUGCCUCCUAAGGAGGCUGUUCGGGUGUCUAAAAAGCACCUGAAGGAAGGGCUGGGUAAGACCGGUGCCAGCCGCCGCGGUAACACCGGCAGCCCAAGUGGUAGCCACGUUUAUUGGGUCUAAAGCGUCCGUAGCCGGCUGGGUAAGUUCCUUGGGAAAUUUGGCUGCUUAACAGUCAAGCUUUCAGGGAAUACUGCCCGGCUUGGGACCGGGAGAGGUCAGAGGUACUCCAGGGGUAGGGGUGAAAAUCCAUUAAUCCUUGGGGGGACCACCGGGUAGCGAAGGCGUCUGACCCAGACCGGGUCCGACGGUGAGGGACGAAGGCUA